AUGGGAAUUUCACUGAUGAAAUAAUUCUAGACAGAUUCUUGAAAAAUGAUUUUGAAAGGGGCAAGAUGAACACUUUUCGCGUCCCACGUUCCAAGGGAGAAGCGUCGACACUCGGCAAAAUCGUCAAAAUUGAGUUUUGGCGAGAUGUUGAUGGAGUGAGCAGUGACUGGUUCGUGGAUAAAGUUUUAAUUGAGAAUGUUGUGACCCGGGAUAUUUUUAUUUUCCCCAUUUUUCGUUGGAUUAAAGCCGGAUAUCAUUAUAUGAUAAAACAUUUAGAUACCUCGUUACCACAGUUUGAUGAGCAUCACAAACAGAGGAAAAUGGAACUAGAGAAUAAAAAAGAAGUUUAUGAAUAUGAACAGAAGUCGCCAGGUUUACCUGUGCAGAUCAAGAAAAUGCCAGCAACUGAACAGUUCUCCUUUGAUUACAUGUGGGAUAUUUUGAGAACAAAAGCAGAACUUUUAGCCACCAGUAAAUGUAUAAAGUUAAAAGCCGGCAGAUGGAAAAGUUUAAAACACAUCAAUAAUAUUUUCACAAAGAACGUUUUUCAUUUACCGAAGGGUGCUGGUGGAUGGAAAGAUGACGUUCAUUUCGGUCUUCAAAGAAUAGCUAGUGCCAAUAGUUCUCUGAUCAAAUUAUGUACGGCUAUUCCAGAGAAACUAGCAGUUAGCGAAGAGAUGCUCAAACCAUUAUUAGAAGGAAAUACGUUAGAAAGUUUGAUGAAACAGAAACGAUUAUUUAUCUGUGAUUUAGAGAUAUUAGAAGGUCUUUCAUGUAAACCUGGAUUUACGGUGUGUGUACCGAUUGCAUUAUUUAUGGUUGACAACGACAACAAAUUGCGACCGCUAGCCAUACAGUUAUUUCAGCAGCC